rnacentral:rRNA from 1 species
CCUACGGGAGGCUGCAGUGGGGAAUAUUGCACAAUGGGCGCAAGCCUGAUGCAGCCAUGCCGCGUGUGUGAAGAAGGCCUUCGGGUUGUAAAGCACUUUCAGCGGGGAGGAAGGCGGUGAGGUUAAUAACCCCAUCGAUUGACGUUACCCGCAGAAGAAGCACCGGCUAACUCCGUGCCAGCAGCCGCGGUAAUACGGAGGGUGCAAGCGUUAAUCGGAAUUACUGGGCGUAAAGCGCACGCAGGCGGUCUGUCAAGUCGGAUGUGAAAUCCCCGGGCUCAACCUGGGAACUGCAUUCGAAACUGGCAGGCUAGAGUCUUGUAGAGGGGGGUAGAAUUCCAGGUGUAGCGGUGAAAUGCGUAGAGAUCUGGAGGAAUACCGGUGGCGAAGGCGGCCCCCUGGACAAAGACUGACGCUCAGGUGCGAAAGCGUGGGGAGCAAACAGGAUUAGAUACCCGAGUAGUC